ACAAAUUCCAUCCCAAAUUAAGCAGCCUUUAUUUCAUAUCAGAUCGUCUCUAUUAAUGAACAUUGGCAUUUGUUCGGUGCUGCACUCGGAACUAUGAGUGGUAAUGGAUGGCUUAGACAUCGCGUGGCAGCAAGGAUUAACCAAUUGAUAGUGAAAAGUGAUAGCUUGGAAACUGUUAAUAUGAUUCAAAAGCUUAACAGCGACAACUGCUAGUUAGACGAUGGACUGUCAGACUCCAGCAUAUUCCUCGCACAGCAGCAGCUGAUAUUAUGACGAUGUCUCUAAAAGAUGCUUUUGUAGGCCUGCAAUUUCUUGAGGAGUCCACAGAUAUGAUUCAAUCGGCUAUUCUUCAUGUUGCAGAACUAAAUUUUUAGUUUUAUAGGUCAAUUGACUAGUCCGUACUAAGUUCUCUUCUUUUAUAAAAAAAAUAAAAAUAAGAUAUUUAUAAAA